CUCACAAUUCUUUCUAUAUGGAAUCGUUAUCGUCUUCCGCUUCUAACAUCCCCAUUUCUCCUAUAGUCUUCCAUUCUUCUAUCUAAAAAAGAGUGAGGCUGGAUUUUUCUACUUCACAGCUUGACCUUCCUUAUAAUUUCUACAAUAGUACCCAACUUCUCACAAGUACUGGAAACAAUACUACUUCUUUAUAAAGUUUACCUCCCCUUUCAUCUAGCCAAUCUCUUUACAGAUUGAGAUUCCGCCCCAACCAGAGUUAGGAGCAUUAAGGAUAACCUGACCAAUCAAGAAAUCAUCGAGACCUUGCAAGACCUCCACUUCAACAUCAACCUUCUGGUUGAGGAUGAUUUGCUCUUCUACUUGGGGCUAAGCCCUAUGGGAUCGAACUCGCCCUUUUCCAUUUGACAAGAUGUGACGAGCUUCAAUCAACAGGCAUAUGAAGUGGCCUCAGCUUCGCCCUCUGCUCUCGAGGAUCUUGACCCUAUCGAACCGACCUCCUGAAAAUCCCCAACUCCCAAAGCAAUCUCCUCUAUUGAGUCUGAGGAGCCUAUGUGUCCCCGCAAGAGGACUUAAUGUCAAGGGCAGAGCCACGUUGAUGGUUACCCGAGCUGUAGCUCGAGGCUCAACGAUGAUUGAUUUAUGAUUUUCUUGAGGAGAAAGGAAAAAAAAUAAGAGGUUAGUUUAGGUAAUGUCGACGUCGACACCGACCGACGUCUGCACUUGUGGCCCACAGCUCAGGUAAAUGACCCGAGCUGGCUCCACUAGUGCU